GAGCACCAAGCUCAUGUGGGGACUCAGAUAUCCAAAAGGCAGGAGAUGAAUAAAAAAAAAAAAAAGUGGUUAGAAUCACAAGUUGGAAUCCAGGGGCGCUACAGUGCUGCCGAGCUGAGAGCCCAGAGAGCAGAAUUCCAGGAAAUCGGUGUUCAGGACCCUGGAGAGCUCUCAGUCACAUUCAAGUGUCUUCCACAGUCUAGAGCACUGAGUAUUGCAAAACUCGGCAUUCGGGACCCCAGCCCUGGAGGGGGUCUAAUCUUUUGUUUUAUGUAGAGGUUCUAAUGAUAGUGGAGCUCUGGGUGCCAAAGGGAUAGUGCAGAACUAGAAUCUUCUGAGCUGUAUAGGGCAGUGGAAUUCUUGUCUGGAUUAGAAGCGGCAUCAGGAUCCUUGUCAGGGAAUAAGAACUUCUCAUCUUUCAUCUUCCUGUCCCAGAGGAGUUCAGCUCUAAUAACCCAGAAUAGAAAAAUAAUAUCAAAUAUAUAUAUGUGUGUGUGUGUGUAUGUGUGUGUGUGUGUGUGUGUGUGUAGAGAGAGAGAGAGAGGGAAAGAGAGAGAGCGAGAGCGAGCGAGCAAACAACACCAUCUCCUUUUCUUAUGUAACCCAGAGUGUAGACAAGAGACAAGUAUCUCAGCCAGGCUCAGGAAAAACACUGGGUUACAUUUGGAUUCUGUAUAUUAUGAAAUGUUUAAUUCCUAUUUGCCUACAUGUACCUGACCACGCAUAAACUUGCAGAAGAAACCCAUGAAAAUAAACAGUCCUGCGGAUCUAAGAGUUAGGAUAAAACAUAUCUUCAAUGAAGGAACUGUCUUUUCUCUUAAUGAACCUUGAUGCAAUAUAGGCCAAAUGAAGAGUUUCUGUGGUUUGUGUGCUAAUGCCCACAUGGAGUGUUUCUGCCUAUUUGGAUAGGAGACAUUUAAAACAAAAGUAAUGGUGAAGAGAGGAGAAUGUAGAGAAAUAAAUCCUGUUUGUACUACGAUAGCACUAAUACCAAACAUCGCUAAUGUGUGUCAGAAACAUAGCUAGAAGUACUAUACUACUGUUAAAACAAACACCCCGUGAGUAUUGUGUAUUUGGUUAGACUAUGGGGCAGGCAAAAGGGAAGAGCACUUGAAUCUUGUUCUGGGCUUCUGGCUGAUAGGCUGAGGGACCUUGGAUAAGUCCCCUUUUCUCUUUAUCUGUAAUAGGAGAAGGCUUGGAUUAGCUUUCAUGAUCAGAUGUAUGGAGUAAGUAUGUGAAUGAGUGAAUUAAUGAACAAACUGCUUCUUAUUGCCAUAUUCCAGAAAUAGCUGAUGGAUUUGUGGGGAGGGGCAUAUACCAGCUGCUUCCUCUUCUUAGGAGCCCCUGUCCAUCCUUUUCAUGUGUGGAGGCAUUACUAAGUAAUGACUGUGUGCAGUAUUACUCAUUUUGAGUUAAUGAUUAUUCUUUUUGAGGAGUUAAGUAGUCAUGGAACCAUGGACUCCUACAAUGAUCCUGCAUUUAUUCUCCUCAAACUCAGCAUGAUAAAAAUAUUUUUGAAGCUAUACUUUUGCAUCCUAGAAAAAGCCUGAAUUUAAAGCAGUAUGGACUAUGAGCAAAUGAAUUAAUUAGAUUCUAAACAUUCACAUUUACCAUCAAGUAAAUUCACUCAUUGGUUAAGGUGAGGUUUUUGAGAUGGUGACAGUUAUCCAAUCUCUACUGGUAGUCUUUUUCUACAUUUUUUUUUCAUUUUUUUUUUUUUGCAUUUUGGGGGGAUUUUGUUUGGAUUUUUGUUUGUUUUUUAUUGCUUUUUGAUGAUUUUUUUCUACCAAUAAUCAAUGUACUUGAAUUACACAGAUUGACGGCAAUUGUACAUGUCAUUUUAUGAAUCCUCCUGACUAAUGUGUGAGUUUCUCUAGACCACUCUUAGGAAGGCGCGCGCGCGCACGCGCGGACACACACACACACACACACACACACACACACACACACUGGAUAGCAAGACUUCUUGAAAAACAGGCCAACAACCAAAAGCCUCCUGUCCCAUUUUCUGCCUUUCCUCUGCCUCCUGCCAGGGUGGACCUCCCCCCUCUCUAGGUAACCCGGCACCACUUCUAUCCAGCAGAAGCAGCAGGAUGGGACAUUUCAUUUAUUCAGUGAAGUUACCAUGAGUGUAGACCCUGGAAUCAGAGAGAUCCAAGUCUGAAUCUAAGUCUCUUCACAUCCUGCCUAUAUGACUUUGGAUAAGCAACCUUAACUGUAGGUUUCCUCAUCUGUAAAAUGGAAAUGCAGAGCCUUCCCACAGAACAGGUACGAGGGUAAGUGAGGUCACAUAUGUGACAUGAUCACACGUGCGUGGUACUUUGUGAGUGUUCAGUAUAUGAGAGGUGCUACUACUACGGUGGUUAUUACAGUUGUUAUUCACCAAGUGCCUUCUGCAGUGCAAAAAUCUCCAGGGUUACCAAAUGGGACCUAGUCUGUGUUUUCAGGGAGUUCAAAAUCCAGCAGCGGCAGGAGGAGAGGUAAUGGUGGGUAAACAAGUCAUGAUGAAACAGUAGGGUAAGUGAUGUGACAAUAAGGCAUUGGCAUAAACCCAGACUAAGGGCAGUAAGGAAAUGAGGGAGGACUGCUUGGAAAAGGUAACACAUGGCAUGAACCUUAAGUCAAGUGGCAAAAAGACGUAGGAUACGGGCUGGGAGAUACCCAGGCACCUGGCGUUCUGCCUGCCUCCCUGGAGGAGCUCAUGGUUUUAUUAAUAAACCGAUCAUCCAUUCCCUU